GUGGAUAACCUACCUAUAAGACUGGGAUAACUUCGGGAAACCGGAGCUAAUACCGGAUAAUAUAUUGAACCGCAUGGUUCAAUAGUGAAAGACGGUUUUGCUGUCACUUAUAGAUGGAUCCGCGCCGCAUUAGCUAGUUGGUAAGGUAACGGCUUACCAAGGCAACGAUGCGUAGCCGACCUGAGAGGGUGAUCGGCCACACUGGAACUGAGACACGGUCCAGACUCCUACGGGAGGCAGCAGUAGGGAAUCUUCCGCAAUGGGCGAAAGCCUGACGGAGCAACGCCGCGUGAGUGAUGAAGGUCUUCGGAUCGUAAAACUCUGUUAUUAGGGAAGAACAAAUGUGUAAGUAACUAUGCACGUCUUGACGGUACCUAAUCAGAAAGCCACGGCUAACUACGUGCCAGCAGCCGCGGUAAUACGUAGGUGGCAAGCGUUAUC
rnacentral:rRNA from 2 species